rnacentral:ncRNA from 1 species
AUUACAUUAACGCAAAGAUGAGUAGGUUAGGCAGUUGUUUUAAGAGAGUCAUCACAAUGGUGCAAGAUGGCAACAACGAAUAAUCGAAUAUGGUCUUAAAUGCAGUUCACAGCUGAGCACUUGUUAGGCGGUGACGGGAACUCCCGUUAUAGAGUCCGGGUAUGCACUUACAGUAAGUACUUUGUUAGCUGUAUUUAAGUACCCAAUGAGAAAUAACUCGUGAGGGUUAUUUAAACUAAGGUGGUAACACGAAAAAGCACUUUCGUCCUUGUC